AGAGUCGCGAGGUUGUACGUAUGGAACAAAGAGCGAGCGAGUGAUCGUGGGAUUUUACAUACAGAUUCAGUGUAUUUUGUGUUACCUUUUGAGGAAUGUGAUCUAUCCAAAGACCAAGGCAAGGGAGAGAGAAAAGAAGCUCGGGUAAACAUAGCAAAAACGAGAGAGAAGUGAAGAAGAAAGAGAGAGGCAGAGAGAGAGAGAGAGAGAGA